AUAGGAUUGGCAUCAAUAAAUCUCAAUCCAUCAUUGAUUUCAUACGCCGCCCAUAUACGUUGGGAGAAAAAUACGAUCUUGCACAAAGAAAAGAAAAAAGAAAAAAGGCAAAAUACAAUCCAAACACAUACAAUGCUCCCCGACCUUUCCGGCCGUUUCUGCUACUAGUUUUUUGGGUUCGUCUUCUCCCUGCUUGGCAAGGCUUCGUUUUUCUCUUCGAUUUCUCGCGAGGCUUUCCCUAGCGUGGGGGCUUCUUCCAAUCCUUGUUGGAUCUUCAAGUUGGAUGUCUGUUAAGCUUGAUUGCAACGGCAGGAAGCGAUUUGAUCAUCUGCUAAUGCAGCUACAUUGAUGUCUAUAUCUACUGUUGAUGAUCUAAACUAUCCAGAGAAGACGAAUACAUAUUACAUUAUGAAUGCCCCGUACAUAUUUUCAGCUACUGGAAGGUUAGCCCUUUGUCUUCUCUUUUGGAUUUGAAUCCUCAUGUUCCUCUAUGGUGUAGUUUUCUGAUUUUUUGCCUCCAAUACAAGAUUGAUGUUAUUUUUGUAAGUUCAUAAGAGAUUAAAAUAUCUGUUUAUUUUCAUGAAAUGUAUAGCCCAGCUAGCAUUCAAUUGUGUGCACUCUUCUAAACUUUUGACGGGUAGGUAAGCCUAUAUUGCAAGAGCGAAUGAGGAUGCAAAUUCAUGUGUUGCAGGGUUAUGAUAUAGAUGAGUUGCUGAAUGUAAGAACAUCUGCUGUAUUUUUUGGUGCUAAGUUGUUUAUUUUUUGAUGUGGCUAGUUUAUAUGAGGACAUCAUCUACAUUCUACUUUCUACCAUAUGGUAGGAGAUUACUCCAGGACUCAUCUACCAUAUGGUAGGUGAUUAAAUAUCUGUUUUCUUUUGGACUGGGUUGAAAAUUUAGUACUUCUUGAGCAUGUGACAGCUAUAUAUGUACUUGUAUAUCUUUGCAUCUAUCUAUUUGGAUGAAGUAAAUGAAUAGGCACUGAUGUUUUAGUUAAUUGCAACCUGAAACUUGGAAGGAAAAAGGUGUGCAACCGUACCAUAACUCUUGAAAAAACUAAGUUUUUCUAUGAGUGGAUGUUAACUUGCGCUUCCAUUUAUAUGAGUUGGAUAUCUUCAUUUCACCAGCCAUUAAAUGAGUUGUUCCAUGUGAUUUGUUGGGCAUAUUUCUAAUUAGCUGCUUUUUAAAAUGAAUGCUCAUGAAUAAUUGUCAAUUGAGAAUCUAGGGUUUCAGUUCUAACAUAUGAGACUUGUAUUGGCUUGUCUUCGUGGAGUGAGGACCAUUUUCUUCAGUUUCUAUUGAUCAUCAUAUCUUAUGGAGAGGGAUGAAGCUGACUCAAUGGCAAGCAAUCAAGACAGAGUUGACACUGAAAGAAUGGAUCAACAAGCUAGGGAAAAAAACUGAUAGUUUCACACAUGGAGUUCGUGAGCAUGUUAGAUUGGGGCCCAAGGUAUCUGUAACUGUGAAGGGGAAAUUGAGGUUGGGUGCCAGAAUUCUUCAAGAAGGUGGUGUUGAGAAGUUACUCAAGCAGAUCUUUAAAAGCUGAAGGUGAAGGUGACUAUGCUGUAUAUAAAUUGUCUGAGUACGAUUCAUUCAGUCUACAAAGAGGGGUAUACCAUUGGGUUAAAUUGACUAUGCUGAAGAUGUUGUAGAAUUUUUAAAUCAACAGCUGAACAACAAUAAAAAGGUACUUGGAGCAUAUGAUGUGAUUCUUGAAUGUGCAUAAUCCUUGGUUUUGUGAAACUUCUCUUGGGUCAUAAGUGUUUAGAAUUGGACUUGAUGGACAUAUUCCAAUUUCAUGAAACGUAUUUCACAAUUACCUUUUA